rnacentral:rRNA from 1 species
UUAUACAGCGAAACUGCGAAUGGCUCAUUAUAUAAGUUAUCGUUUAUUUGAUAGUACCUUACUACUUGGAUAACCGUGGUAAUUCUAGAGCUAAUACAUGCUAAAAAUCCCGACUUCGGAAGGGAUGUAUUUAUUAGAUUAAAAACCAAUGCCCUCUGGGCUCUCUGGUGAUUCAUGAUAACUUCUCGAAUCGCAUGGCCUUGCGCCGGCGAUGGUUCAUUCAAAUUUCUUCCCUAUCAACUUUCGAUGUUUGGGUAGUGGCCAAACAUGGUUGCAACGGGUAACGGAGGGUUAGGGCUCGACCCCGGAGAAGGAGCCUGAGAAACGGCUACUACAUCCAAGGAAGGCAGCAGGCGCGCAAAUUACCCAAUCCCGAUUCGGGGAGGUAGUGACAAUAAAUACUGAUACAGGGCUCUUUUGGGUCUUGUAAUUGGAAUGAGUACAAUUUAAAUCCCUUAACGAGGAACAAUUGGAGGGCAAGUCUGGUGCCAGCAGCCGCGGUAAUUCCAGCUCCAAUAGCGUAUAUUAAAGUUGUUGUGGUUAAAAAGCUCGUAGUUGAACCUUGGGCCUGGCUGGCCGGUCCGCCUCACCGCGUGUACUGGUCCGGCCGGGCCUUUCCCUCUGUGGAACCCCAUGCCCUUCACUGGGUGUGGCGGGGAAACAGGACUUUUACUUUGAAAAAAUUAGAGUGCUCCAGGCAGGCCUAUGCUCGAAUACAUUAGCAUGGAAUAAUGAAAUAGGACGUGCGGUUCUAUUUUGUUGGUUUCUAGGACCGCCGUAAUGAUUAAUAGGGACAGUCGGGGGCAUCAGUAUUCAAUUGUCAGAGGUGAAAUUCUUGGAUUUAUUGAAGACUAACUACUGCGAAAGCAUUUGCCAAGGAUGUUUUCAUUAAUCAGGAACGAAAGUUAGGGGAUCGAAGACGAUCAGAUACCGUCGUAGUCUUAACCAUAAACUAUGCCGACUAGGGAUCGGACGAUGUUAUUUUUUGACUCGUUCGGCACCUUACGAGAAAUCAAAGUGC